GNAGGGCGCAAGCGUNGUCCGGAAUNACUGGGUGUAAAGGGAGCGCAGGCGGGAAGACAAGUUGGAAGUGAAAACCAUGGGCUCAACCCAUGAAUNGCUUUCAAAACUGUNUUUUCUUGAGUAGUGCAGAGGUAGAUGGAAUNCCCGGUGUAGCGGUGGAAUGCGUAGAUAUCGGGAGGAACACCAGUGGCGAAGGCGGUCUACUGGGCACCAACUGACGCUGAGGCUCGAAAGCAUGGGUAGCAAACAGGAUUAGAUACCCUGGUAGUCCAUGCCGUAAACGAUGAUUACUAGGUGUUGGGGGAUUGACCCCCUCAGUGCCGCAGUUAACACAAUAAGUAAUCCACCUGGGGAGU
rnacentral:rRNA from 1 species